UGCAAUGAUGAUGAGAAAUUCAUAAUCUCGUUAAUCCGAUUUCUAUGUGAGGAUAACUUUCUUAUCCAUUCUUUCUCUGUUUCUGAGC